rnacentral:lncRNA from 1 species
UCAAGUCUCCUCCUUCCCUCUAGCCUCCCCUCCCCUCCCCUCCCCUCCAGCUACAUGCCCAUCCAUCCGUCGGGCACAGCCUGGGCCCUCUGCGGGCGUUCCUGCGAGCCCAGGAGGAGGGGAGUGCUGCUUUCUGGCUUCCCAAGCUCAAGGAGCCCAGAGCUCUAUCUGCAGCUGACGACUUGGCAGCUUUUGAUUUGCAAGAGAGGCUGGCGGCAAGGCUGUCCCCGGCCACCAGCAGAAUGAGAGGCCUGGCUUCGGGUAAAAAAGCUCCUUCUCCUUUCUCUUUUUUUCCUUUCCUGCCUCCUCUUCUGGGAUUUUUUUUUUUUUUUUGAAGCUUAUUUUUAAUCAUGGAUUUGAAACUUCAGAUGCGGCAAAGCUCUGGGACAAUGGGAGAUGCAGGGUUGAUGCCGAUGGGCUGGAGCAGGUCAGGAGCGCAGUCAUGUGGCUGAGCACUGAUUGAGCACCUAGUAAGUGCAGAUCUCAGGCUAGGUGCUCCACACCCAUCCCGUCCUCACUGCCCUCAAUGGGGGGACCCUUCCCUCGUUUUCCAGGUAGGGGAAUAAAGGCAUGGGGAGGUUCAGAAGCUUCUCCAGGUUGCGAAGUGGGUCAGCGGUGGAGUCUGGCUGCAUCUACCCCCUGGGCCUGGGUGCUGGGCGAGCGUGAGGCCCUCCCAGACCCCGUCCCACAGUGAGGUCACUAGUGUAGCAGCUCAGAUCUUUCUCUGCCCUCCCCGUCCCCAGACGGAUUCCUGAGUGUUUAGAGAUGGGCCUCACAAGCGCAGGUCCGUCCUUCCAGCCACUGAGGGGGACUGAUUGAUGGGGUUCCUUCCCUCCUGUGCUGUCCUCAUCCUGGGCAACUUGGGACUUUAAAAUCGGAAGGACGUUGGCCCAGCUCGGUACAGCCUCUGUGUGCGACUAGGAGAAGAAAACCCGAGACAGGGGACCCCCAGGCCCUCGUUCUGCCCCACUCUGUGACCACAGGACGCUUUCCAAGGAGGUGCCCGCUACAAUCUGGUGUGACAGUAACCUGGGGCCUGAGAGCCUGUCACCAAAAGGACAGCACAUAAACAAGCACAGCCAUUCGAAAGCAUCUUCCAGAGUCAGCACCCAGCCUCUGAAGACAGAGGGAGCUCCUGCCACAGAGGGGCCCCACUGCCCUGCCUUUCACACCUGGCCUCCCAGCCGUCCUGCUUCCCACCACGUCCAAGCCGGAUUCUCCAGUCUUCCUGCUGAUCCUCCUGAGCCUCAGAUACAUUUCCAGGAAAGUUCUUUUUGCUCAAGCGAGCUAGAAUAUACUUCUGUUGCUUGUAUUUCAAGGAUCUGGCUGGCGCACUCUACGCCUUCUGCACGCCUUGAUGACUGCGUGGAGGAAGUUUCUUUUAAUAAAUGUUUUCUGUGUUUGUCUCCAUUACUUGCUUGUUUUGUGACUUUGGGGAAAUCCUUUCACUUCUC